GUUACAGGUUACAAAUCAAACGUUUCAGAAUCCAUAGCAGGCGAAUUCCAACAGUAUGUUUUCAAAUAACUUCGACACCUUUUCUUCACUUCAAUCUUGUACUGAGCUCCAGUGGCUUUAUCCAUCUCUUCAUAGAAGGUGAUCACGUCACCGGGCUUCAGAUCUUUCCUGCGAACAAACUGAAACCAGUGCUCCCCAAAAACAACUGGUUUCGAAAAGCCGGUGGCAGGAAUUCUGCAGCGAAAUGUCCAGACAAUACCAGCGUCAUCUUUAACGUGCAAAAUGAUUUCAUGGCCCUUUUGAGCUGGUGGGAAAGCUUUUAUACUGUUUUCUGGGAUAGACAAUCUUCUCAAAAGAUCACUGUUGGUAAGUAUUUUUGAGAAGAUUGCCAUGGCUAACUGUUCUGCUUAUGUAUGGAGAAUUAAGCUAAUGCG
rnacentral:misc_RNA from 1 species